UACGGGGGGGGCAAGCGUUGUUCGGAAUUACUGGGCGUAAAGGGCUCGUAGGCGGCCAACUAAGUCAGACGUGAAAUCCCUCGGCUUAACCGGGGAACUGCAUCUGAUACUGGAUGGCUUGAGAUUGGGAGAAGGAUGCGGAAUUCCAGGUGUAGCGGUGAAAUGCGCAGAUAUCAGGAGGAACACCAGCGGCGAAGGCGGUGCUCUGGGCCGGAACUGACGCUGAGGAGCGAAAGCGUGGGGAGCAAACAGG
rnacentral:rRNA from 1 species